rnacentral:rRNA from 1 species
AUGAACGCUGGCGGCGUGCCUAAUACAUGCCAGUCGAGCGAACAGACGAGGAGCUUGCUCCUUUGACGUUAGCGGCGGACGGGUGAGUAACACGUAGGUAACCUACCUAUAAGACUGGGAUAACUUCGGGAAACCGGAGCUAAUACCGGAUAAUAUUUCGAACCGCCUGGUUCGAUAGUGAAAGAUGGCUUUGCUAUCACUUAUAGAUGGACCUGCGCCGUAUUAGCUAGUUGGUAAGGUAACGGCUUACCAAGGCAACGAUACGUAGCCGACCUGAGAGGGUGAUCGGCCACACUGGAACUGAGACACGGUCCAGACUCCUACGGGAGGCAGCAGUAGGGAAUCUUCCGCAAUGGGCGAAAGCCUGACGGAGCAACGCCGCGUGAGUGAUGAAGGUCUUCGGAUCGUAAAACUCUGUUAUUAGGGAAGAACAAACGUGUAAGUAACUGUGCACGUCUUGACGGUACCUAAUCAGAAAGCCACGGCUAACUACGUG